rnacentral:precursor_RNA from 11 species
UAUACUUUUUAUUCUGGUAUAAAGUGUUAAUCCUCCCCUAUUGAAAUCAAUGGGAUGCCUGCCACUGACUUCAAUAGGAGUAGGAUGACACUAUAUGAUGUUAUAAAAUUUGUGAUU